CCAAGGCAGUAAUGGUGUAUGCCUUCUCUCAAAAUAUGUGGUAUUUUUGGUAUGAGGCAUAGUGGCAUUGCCUUCUCUCUCACCCUACUCUAAUAAGGUUUUGAUAUCUAGAGCUCAUAGGUGGGAGACAGCUAAUACAUACUUACAAGACAUUUAUUGCAUAGUCAAACUAUGGAUCCAGAAGAACAAGUCAACAAGUCAAAUCAAGAUGUGCAUGUGUGGUGAACGAAUGGUGAUAAUGGUGAAAGUCUAAUUCUACUUGUGCUCUUUUGAGGGGAUACAUACCUUUCUUGCUCUUUUGAAAAUUUUUGAGGAGAAUGAGAUGCUCUAUAUUUUCUUUUUCUUUUCUCUCAAGUGGGUAUCUUGUACCCCUAAUUCUACUGUCGGACACUUGUCCAUUUUUACCUCUCGUCUCACUUUUUCUUUUCUUUUGAGGUUUCAGGCACUUGCCCCUUUUUAUUUCCUCGUAUCUUCUUUUUUUUAGAGCACUCACCGCUUUUAAAUAAUGUAGCAAGUGGUAGUAACCAAGAUAACUUGAGCAUUUAUUUCACAGGGAAAAACAGGAAUAUUUUUGGCUAUCUCUCUCGAAUUAGGAGUAGAAUAUUUUUGGGUGGUUUUUGAGAUGGAAAUGGGUGGAUAUAUGUGGAUGCGUAAUUUCGGAGUAGAAGCAGCAUGUGUGAGUGAACGUGCAAGUGAAUCUUGAUUUAACCACAUGACAAGCUCCUAAGGGUCUACACAGCUUGACCACACUGAAUGCUCAUAAGCAGUAAAAAGUAAAUGUAUGGUUCAUAGUCUAAUAAGCAUGU
rnacentral:lncRNA from 1 species